GCUCCAGUCGGUUCCAAAUUAAUGUUUUAUCCCCAAGCUCUUUCCUGCUCCUUCAUGGGUCUCAGGUCUCCUGGAAAUCCAGGAACAGCAAUUAGCCCACUGCUAUUUAGGGCCUUUGUAAACAUUGAAGGAUGAUUCGGAGCUUAGGCUUUCUCUCCCGUGCAGGAAUCAGUCAGAUGAAGCCUGCUGCACGCGUCCCUGUCUAGAUCUUGAUCCAAGUGAUUAUAUGCAUUUGGCUCUCCGUGGAUGCAUCUGGUGGCCUGGGCUAGGCCAGUGUCCACUCUGGCCUACAUCCUCUGCUCAGGACUGCAGGUCGGCCAUUUGCUGGUCCCCGGUUCUUUC
rnacentral:lncRNA from 1 species